rnacentral:rRNA from 1 species
AGGACGAACGCUGGCGGCGUGCUUAACACAUGCAAGUCGAACGGAAAGGCCCUUCGGGGUACUCGAGUGGCGAACGGGUGAGUAACACGUGAGCAAUCUGCCCCUAGCUCUGGGAUAGCUCCGGGAAAACCGGGAUUAAUACCAGAUAUUACUACGGCCGACAUCAGCUGUGGUGGAAAGAAUUUCGGCUAGGGAUGAGCUCGCGGCCUAUCAGCUUGUUGGUGGGGUAAAGGCCCACCAAGGCGACGACGGGUAGCCGGCCUGAGAGGGCGACCGGCCACACUGGGACUGAGACACGGCCCAGACUCCUACGGGAGGCAGCAGUGGGGAAUAUUGCGCAAUGGGCGAAAGCCUGACGCAGCGACGCCGCGUGCGGGAUGAAGGCCUUCGGGUUGUAAACCGCUUUCAGCAGGACGAAGCGAAGUGACGGUACCUGCAGAAGAAGCGCCGGCUAACUACGCGCCAGCAGCCGCGGUAA